rnacentral:rRNA from 1 species
CAGUAGCCGCGGGAAUACAGAGGGUGCGAGCGUUAAUCGGAUUUACUGGGCGUAAAGCGUGCGUAGGCGGCUUCUUAAGUCGGAUGUGAAAUCCCUGAGCUUAACUUAGGAAUUGCAUUCGAUAUUGGGAAGCUAGAGUAUGGGAGAGGAUGGUAGAAUUCCAGGUGUAGCGGUGAAAUGCGUAGAGAUCUGGAGGAAUACCGAUGGCGAAGGCAGCCAUCUGGCCUAAUACUGACGCUGAGGUACGAAAGCAUGGGGAGCAAACAGGAUUAGAUACCCCGGUAGUCCCUGUCUCUUAUAC